rnacentral:rRNA from 1 species
GACGAACGCUGGCGGCGUGCUUAACACAUGCAAGUCGAACGGAAAGGCCCCUUUGGGGGUACUCGAGUGGCGAACGGGUGAGUAACACGUGAGUAACCUGCCCUUGACUUCGGGAUAACUUCAGGAAACUGGGGCUAAUACCGGAUAGGAAUCCUUGCUGCAUGGUGGGGGUUGGAAAGCUUCGGCGGUUUUGGAUGGACUCGCGGCUUAUCAGCUUGUUGGUGGGGUAGUGGCUUACCAAGGCUUUGACGGGUAGCCGGCCUGAGAGGGCGACCGGCCACAUUGGGACUGAGAUACGGCCCAGACUCCGACGGGAGGCAGCAGGGGGGAAUAUUGCACAAUGGGCGGAAGCCUGAUGCAGCAACGCCGCGGGCGGGAGGACGGCCUUCGGGUUGUAAACCGCUUUCAGCAGGGGCGAAGCUUGUGGUGACGGUACCUGCAGAAGAAGCACCGGCUAACUACGUG